AUACUUACCUGGCAGGGGAGAUACCAUGAUCACGAAGGUGUUUUCUCCAGGGUGAGGAUUAUCCAUUGCACUGCAGAUGUGCUGACCCCUGCAACUUCCCCAAAUGUGGGAAACUCAACUGCAUAAUUUAUGGUAGUGGAGAGAGCCCAACUCUCCU
ensembl:snRNA U1 U1 spliceosomal RNA